AACGAACGCUGGCGGCAUGCCUAACACAUGCAAGUCGAACGAGACCUUCGGGUCUAGUGGCGCACGGGUGCGUAACGCGUGGGAACCUGCCUUUAGGUUCGGAAUAACUCAGAGAAAUUUGAGCUAAUACCGGAUGAUGUCUUCGGACCAAAGAUUUAUCGCCUUUAGAUGGGCCCGCGUUGGAUUAGCUAGUUGGUGGGGUAAAGGCCUACCAAGGCGACGAUCCAUAGCUGGUCUGAGAGGAUGAUCAGCCACACUGGGACUGAGACACGGCCCAGACUCCUACGGGAGGCAGCAGGGGGGAAUAUGGGACAAUGGGCGAAAGCCUGAUCCAGCAAUGCCGCGUGAGUGAUGAAGGCCUUAGGGUUGUAAAGCUCUUUUACCCGAGAUGAUAAUGACAGUAUCGGGAGAAUAAGCUCCGGCUAACUCCGU
rnacentral:rRNA from 1 species